rnacentral:rRNA from 1 species
GACGAACGCUGGCGGCGCGCCUAACACAUGCAAGUCGAACGAGCGAGAGAGAGCUUGCUUUCUCGAGCGAGUGGCGAACGGGUGAGUAACGCGUGAGGAACCUGCCUCAAAGAGGGGGACAACAGUUGGAAACGACUGCUAAUACCGCAUAAGCCCACGGGUCGGCAUCGACCAGAGGGAAAAGGAGCAAUCCGCUUUGAGAUGGCCUCGCGUCCGAUUAGCUGGUUGGUGAGGUAAUGGCCCACCAAGGCGACGAUCGGUAGCCGGACUGAGAGGUUGAACGGCCACAUUGGGACUGAGACACGGCCCAGACUCCUACGGGAGGCAGCAGUGGGGAAUAUUGCACAAUGGGGGAAACCCUGAUGCAGCGACGCUGCGUGGAGGAAGAAGGUCUUCGGAUUGUAAACUCCUGUUGUUGGGGAAGAUAAUGACGGUACC